AUUGAACGCUGGCGGCAGGCUUAACACAUGCAAGUCGAGCGGGGUGAGGUGCUUCGGUACUGAUCCUAGCGGCGGACGGGUGAGUAAUGCUUAGGAAUCUGCCUAUUAGUGGGGGACAACAUUCCGAAAGGAAUGCUAAUACCGCAUACGCCCUACGGGGGAAAGCAGGGGAUCUUCGGACCUUGCGCUAAUAGAUGAGCCUAAGUCGGAUUAGCUAGUUGGGGGGGUAAAGGCCUACCAAGGCGACGAUCUGUAGCGGGUCUGAGAGGAUGAUCCGCCACACUGGGACUGAGACACGGCCCAGACUCCUACGGGAGGCAGCAGUGGGGAAUAUUGGACAAUGGGGGGAACCCUGAUCCAGCCAUGCCGCGUGUGUGAAGAAGGCCUUUUGGUUGUAAAGCACUUUAAGCGAGGAGGAGGCUACCGAGAUUAAUACUCUUGGAUAGUGGACGUUACUCGCAGAAUAAGCACCGGCUAACUCUGUGCCAGCCGCCGCCGUAAGAC
rnacentral:rRNA from 1 species